rnacentral:lncRNA from 1 species
CUCUCACUGGCAGAAUGGAGUUCUCGGAGCUGAUCCAUACGGGCUGAGCCCAAGCAGAGUUUCUACGGGGCCCGGAGGCGCCCCCGCUUCGCGGCACGGUGUGAGUCACCGUCCACCACCUGCUCCUGUCGCCAGGGCCCGCGUCCUCUCCGGACCUGUGGCUGCUGCUGUUGCGUAGCGUCGACUCCUUCGAGAAGCAACCUGCGAGUGCUGCAGCUGGAAAUAGAGGGCGCGGAAGCGACGCUGGGCAUCGCCCGCUCCAUCGAGACCAACGCGUGGCGGCUGAGCGAGGGUCCCAAACCACUUUGGCCACAACACCCCCAGACUGGUCCGAAGCCUCGUGAGUUCGCCCUGGUCGUUGCACUCCAGCCUGUCGCUGUGCAGACCUGGCUUAGAGGACCCCUAAGGCUGAGGGGUCACUUCCAGAACUGAGUCCGGUCCGCAGGUUCUGCUACGCUCCAGCCAGCCCCUAACUGGUCCCCAGAAGCGGCGCUGCUACAGGGACCAGGAGCUGCUGCGAACUGCGCUGGCGGGGGCUCGUCCUUGGGCGCGGGGCUUCAUCAUGGACACGCUCUCGGCCCAGGCCGCGAAACAAGCCCGCGUGACUGGCGGAGGCACAGAGACCAAGGCCGCUUAACCUGGCUGGUUGCACUGGUCCCUGGAGAGCACUGAGCACAGGGGCUGCCACAGUGGCCGGCUCAGACAUGGCAGAGAUCAGCAGAGAAUGGGCAAUCAGGCUCCCCUGAGAUGAGCAGCAGCGCAGAGGAGGUGCCCCUCUCUUACUACACCAACUUCAGAGGGCGUCCCCUGCAGGAGAGCUUCAUGCGCCUGGUGGAGGCCUGUGGGGACUCGGAGCAAAGCAUGGACAACUGGCUGAGUCGGCUGGACGGCUGCCGCUGACUGUAACAUGUAAAGCAGGCACUGAGCACCACCUGCCUGGCAGUCCAGGGCAUGGAGAGGCACAGACAGCACCCUGCUUGUGACUUCACUGGCCCAACUCAUCCUGGACCCCUUGAGCAAGACCAUGGCUGGAUUCCAGGAACUGGUGGAGUGGAAGUGGAUCCAGGAAAAUGCCGUGUGAAGGGAGGACUCAGAUGCACUCCCUGUGGUCUGGGCUCAACCAGCCAAAAGAGCAACAAAGACUCCAGAACCCACUCUACCUCCUCAAUCCCUUGGCCAUCUGUGGAGCCCCAGAGCCUGCGGCUGUGGCAAGGCCUGUUUCUGCGCUGGACCUGCUCACCUGAGCCUGCAGAAGCUGCAUGGGGGAAGAGUGUGGCAAAUAGUGACAGGAAGGGAGAAGACAGAAGCCUCUCAGCCAACUGCUUCAGCCGAGCCCCUAUUCUAAGCACUGGCUCCUUGGAUAGCAGCUGAGAUGUUCCUGAAACCUCUGCAGGCCCCUUAGGACCUUUACACCUUGGAUGAGGGUGCCUGCAACCCAGGUUAGCCAAAAGUACUGAGGGUCUUAAGUUUGAAGUGUCCAAAGUAUAGGGAGGUCUCAAUAAUAAAAGUCUCCAUGAUCAGCA